AUUGCAGUCUGCAACCCGACCCCACCGAAGCUGGAUUCGCUAGUAAUCGCAGAUCAGAAUGCUGCGGUGAAUACGUUCCCGGGUCUUGUACACACCGCCCGUCACACCAUGGGAGUUUGUAACGCCCAAAGUCGGUGGCCUAACCUUUAUGGAGGGAGCCGCCUAAGGCGGGACAGAUGACUGGGGUGAAGUCGUAACAAGGUAGC
rnacentral:rRNA from 1 species